UUUUUAUUUUAUUGGUAUAACAUUUUGAUGGAGAAUUCCAAAAGGGGGAAUAUUGGUAAAAAACCUCAGUUAUUGUAAAUAUUGGUGUUCACACCGCCAGCUCUAUUGAGCUAGGCAUUUCUAUUAGGUUAACCAGACCUCCUGGCCUCCGGGAAGGUAGCAGGGGACCUGCUGGCCUCCGGGAAGGUAGCAGGGGAAAUACAGAUUGAACCAGACAUGCU